CUACGCACUCCUACGGGAGGCAGCAGUGGGGAAUAUUGCACAAUGGGCGCAAGCCUGAUGCAGCCAUGCCGCGUGUAUGAAGAAGGCCUUCGGGUUGUAAAGUACUUUCAGCAGUGAGGAAGGUGGGUAUGUUAAUAGCAUAUUCAUUUGACGUUAGCUGCAGAAGAAGCACCGGCUAACUCCGUGCCAGCAGCCGCGGUAAUACGGAGGGUGCGAGCGUUAAUCGGGAAUUACUGGGCGUAAAAGCGCAUGCAGGUGGUUUGUUAAGUCAGAUGUGAAAAGCCCGGGGCUCAACCCUCGGAAUUGCAUUUGAAACUGGCAAACUAGAGUACUGUAGAGGGGGUAGAAUUUCAGGUGUAGCGGUGAAAUGCGUAGAGAUCUGAAGGAAUACCGGUGGCGAAGGCGGCCCCCUGGACAGAUACUGACACUCAGAUGCGAAAGCGUGGGGAGCAAACAGGAUUAGAUACCCUGGUAG
rnacentral:rRNA from 1 species